AUACCUAAACUUAGUUGGUCAUAAAAAAACUUUGGCUUGUUGGAAAAAGGCCGAAUGGUUACGGUUAUGAUAUCACAAAACAUGUACUUGAUGAGCAAUUCAUAUAACACCUUAGGGUAUUGCAUAUGAAUCCCUCAGCUAGGUCUUAAUGUUUUGAAAAUAGAUAUUCUCAAUGGGUAGGAUUCAAUAUAGGUCAGCAUGGUGCAAAUGACAUACGGUACCCCUAACUUAUGGGGAAUCAAUCCUAUUAAGGGCUUAUUUGGAUGUUUUUAUAGGAUUGGGCUGAAAAUUCUGUAGCAGUCAGGCUUGUUAGUCCAUCUAGCUUGCAUUUUAUAAGAGUUUAUUCAGACCUAACCCAGAUCCUAGCUUUUGUGUUGCAGGAAGAAA
rnacentral:lncRNA from 1 species